rnacentral:rRNA from 1 species
UACGUAGGGGGCAAGCGUUGUCCGGAAUCAUUGGGCGUAAAGCGCGCGUAGGCGGCCCGGUAAGUCCGUUGUGAAAGUCAAAGGCUCAACCUUUGAACGCCGAUGGAUACUGCCGGGCUAGAGUCCGGAAGAGGCGAGUGGAAUUCCUGGUGUAGCGGUGGAAUGCGCAGAUAUCAGGAGGAACACCAAUAGCGAAGGCAGCUCGCUGGACCUUUUCUGACGCUGAGGCGCGAAAGCUAGGGGAGCAAACGGGGAUUAAGCAUACCCGUGGUAGUCCAGUACCAAGAUCCUCCGUCGCUACCCGUA